AAACAGAUAAUGUCAGUCAAGGCUAUGUUACGAGGAAGCUUCACGCUUUAGUUUUGUAAUGAGGUAUAGGAAGAUGUGAUUGAUUGUGUUAUGUGUGCUAUUACUUUGCUUAUAGAGACAAAGAGGAGAAAGUGGCUUGAAGAUAACCUAUAAACAACUACCAACGACGAGCCUUUUCUCUUCCGUACCUUGAUUAUCCCAUGGUGGGCAUGGAUGAAGCGACACCAUCCACCAGAAGCUGUGAACUCCUCAAUAAAUGGUAAUUUCCAUAUGGUAUGUACUUUGGAACUAUGAUAAAUUUUCUUCUCCUUCUAAAAAGCUUUGCUUAUUUAUGAAUAAAUAAAUGAAAAGGGUCGAAUCUCCAACACGGGAAGUCUUUUUUAUUUGUGUUCAUGGCCUGAUUUGUAUGAUUUAAAUAUAAAGUUUUGGCCUUUUGGGUGGUAGUUUGCUUAAGAGUUUGUCAUUUAGUUUGGUUUUCCUCAAACUUUUCAUUUGUAAUGACUUCUCAAAAAUUGGUUUGGAGGACAAUAGCAUUCAGUUGUUUUGGUUAAACUUAUUCUCUAUCAUAAAAUAGUUCGGCUUGGUAUGAAAAAUAACACUUUAAAAUUAUUGGCUCACGGGGCUGUUACUGUAUAGCCAGUGUGGCAGUGUGGCUGCAUCUGUUGCUGCUAUAGCAGCCUCCACCACCGGGUUCUUCGAUCUUUGGGAAGGAUGAGCAGAUGGCUAAAACUGACAUGGCUGUUUCUUCCGCUGCAACCCUUGCUGGCCUCUGUUGUUUUGCCAUCAGUGUUCGUUAUGCCAGAGAUAUCAUGAUACUUGCUGCCGGUUUACCACAGUGAUAAGAGGAGUGGCGACAUUGAAAGUGAGGGCUAUGAAAGAAGUUUGGAACAUUGCAUCAGUGUUUACAGAGAUAAAGAACUCAUUACUUCUGAAGGAUGCAGCAACAUUAGUAAUUGUAGCAAUGGAAGCUCGAGUAGUAGUCACAGUAGCGAACUUAUACAAGGGGAUAAUUUCUUGGUAAUUAGUGGCAGAGAAUGUCUCGCAAAAGGCUGUCAACUUCUCAAACGUACUUGCCAAGGGUAAGAAGAGAAAGCAGAAAUAAAGCUAAAGCUGAUAUAAAAAAGCAUAUAACAAUGAUGAUGAUGAUAAUGAAGUUACGGGAUCCACUUCUGUCUAUUACUCAGACAUUUUCUUUGAGGAUAACCAAGAUGAAAGACUGUAAAAGAAAUGUCUUAGUAUUGGUCUAUUCUGUGGAAGUAUAAAUAUGUUUAGUUAUAAUGAAUAAAUUAUUUCUUUUACAUUGCGUAAAUCAUUAGUUUCAAAAGAAAAUAUAUAAAGUGAAACAAUUAAAUU